rnacentral:rRNA from 1 species
UACAGAGGGGGCAAGCGUUGUUCGGAAUUACUGGGCGUAAAGGGCGCGUAGGCGGCCUUCUAAGUCGAACGUGAAAUCCCCAGGCUCAACCUGGGAACUGCAUCCGAUACUGGAUGGCUUGAAUCCGGGAGAGGGAUGCAGAAUUCCAGGUGUAGCGGUGAAAUGCGUAGAUAUUGGGAAGAACACCUGAGGCGAAGGCGGGUUGCUGGGCUGAUACUGACGCUGAGGCGCGAAAGCCAGGGGAGCAAACGGG